CAAAUACUCCCUCCGUCCAAAAAUACUUGUCAUCAAAAUGGAUAAAAGGAAAUGUAUCUAGACGUAUUUUAGUUUUAGAUACAUCUCUUUUUAUCCAUUUUGAUGACAAGUAUUUUCAGACGGAGGGAGUAUUUA
rnacentral:pre_miRNA from 1 species